ACCACGACGGAAAGUGUUGCGAGUUCAUCGACAGCGCGUAGGUGAGCCCGUCAUCAUCAGCAGCAUAGUGAAGACUGUGUAGCAAGGGCUGUGCUCUUUAUAUAAAGAAAGAGAAGAGAAGAGGGACCAGUAUCAAAGAAGAGGAACCAUAAACACGAAAGAAGAGGAGCACCUUAAAUACAAAUAAUGGGAAACCUUGCCUCAAAAUUAAAGGGCCUGCUUUCAUCACUUGGUGGAUCCGAGGCUCGCAUAUUAAUGCUUGGACUGGACGCUGCCGGUAAAACCACCAUCCUAUACAAGCUCAAACUGAACGAGACAGUCUCUUCCAUACCAACGAUAGGCUUCAACGUGGAGACUGUGACACCCGUCAAAGGUGUAACAUUCACCGUCUGGGAUGUAGGUGGACAGGACAAAAUCAGGCCAUUAUGGAAGCAUUACUUCAACAAUACUGAGGGCCUUGUUUAUGUAGUGGACUCCUCCGACAGAGCUAGGAUCAACGAGAGUAGAGACGAACUAAAAUGGAUACUGGAUUCCGAUGAGAUGAGAGGAGUACCUGUCGUUGUCCUCUCCAACAAGCAAGAUCUUCCCAAUGCCCUCCCGCCAGGUGAAGUGGGUAGCAGACUCGGUCUUAACCAGAUGCGUACCAGGGACUGGUACAUACAAGGCACGUGUGCCACUAAUGGCGAUGGGCUCUUUGAGGGUAUGCAAGAGUUAGCUAGACUAGUGAAGGAAUUCAAGAAAACCAGAAGAUAGAUCCUAUAGCUUUAACAUUAUCACUCUCUCUCCUCUCCCCUCUUUACUUUCUUUUAUUAAGAGCGCAAGCAUACAUUGUUUAGUGAGUUUUAUCAAUGUAAUGAUGACUUUAUCAUUCUCAGUUAUAUUAUUAUUAUGCUGUUUAUGUGUGUACUAACUAAUCAAUAAAAUUAUUAUUAUCAUUAUUGUAUGUAUUAUUAAUUAUCUUCUUAAGUUUGAUUCAAUUAUUAUAAUAAGUGCAUUUAUGCUCUUCUUUUACAUGUCACAACUGUCCAAUUAUUUACUUGCACAAACA